AAAAAAAAAAACUAUUUUCCCUCUUAUUCUUCUUCCCCCCCAAUGUGAAGAAAUUCUUCAUGUGCCCUAGAAGCCGCCGACCAUCUCCUCUCCAAUCGGCACCGUGUGUCCGAUCGAGCCGCCACCAGUUCGUCGAUCGUUCGUUCGUGGGCCGUCGUUCGUGCAGGUCAGCUCAAUCUUGUUAGCAAGCAGCGACCCUCUAGAUCUUCUUCGUCGCGCACCUCUUCGCACGUCGAUCUCGCCUAGCCGGUCAGUUUCGCGUCCGUCGCCCCUCUGUCCGAAACCCAACCUCGUUUGCCGCUUCAGCCGCUGUUUCAGAUUCUCUCUGGCUGCAGACUCACGCGACCAGAAACCCAGCUUCGUUCGCCGCUCGUCCAACCCACUGUUCGAACUCAGUCGCCGAUCUCCAUUGGUCACUGCCUUCCUUCACUGUCAUUCGUCGGAUUUCGGCGAAUGUUGGUAAGUUUUGGGUGAGAUCAGUUGAGUUUUGAAGUUUUGGGUUGCCCAUUAAAUUUUGGAUUUUCCUUUUUGAUUGAUACCUAUUAUAUUUGGGAUUUAAAUCCAAGACUGGAGUACUUCAGAGUGCGCAACGUGUUGCCCAGCGGAUUCGAGUUUGUUCAACAAGUAGUUUGGUAAGCAUUAUGAUCCUUGUUGUUGGUUGUUGGGCACCCAUUGAUUAUUGGACUAAAGAAUGGUUUAAUUUUAAGUAUUCUUGAAGGUUCCAAGUCGUCAUCCAUUGAGUUUUAAAAUCUGCUAAGAGGAAAUUUUGGAGUCGAAAUCUUGCGAGUGUUUGUUGAUCAAGUUUCGUUUGGGGGACUCAAUUUAGGACUUAUUUGGUUGGAGAUCAUUAGCUUGGAUUAAUAUCUAAAUUUGACUUCGAGGUAAGUGUAGAGAUGCACCGAUGAUGGCGCAGCGGAAUUCGUGAUCGUGCCACUGGGACUAGUUUUUAUGCUUCCGCAUCAUGAAAUUUAGAGUCCUUAUUUUUCCCUUAAUGUUUAGUUUUACUGUUUGAAACUUAUUAUGAAGGAUUGUGUUUUUUUUAUACUUUUAAUAGUCUUUACGAAUCAUGGGUACCCUAUUAACUAUUUUAACAAUUACAUUUAAUAAACGUCUUUUGAAUUUCUCUUAUUUAAUUAGCAUUUAUUUCAAAUAACUGAGCGUCGUUUUAAAUUCUGUGCAUGCAUUUAUUUUAUUAAUGGCCUUACCUAAGUCCUAGAGGGUCGGGUCAUUACAAGAUAUGAAGGUACUAGAGAUAAGUCCUAGACAUGAGUUCUAAUGACAGGAUUCAGUCUACGUGCACGUAAGACAGCUAAGACUAAGAGAAAGGUGAUGGAUAAAAGUGACACACCUUAUCCUAGGGAAAUACGAGGUAAUGUGAUGGACAAAGGAGACAUACCUUAACCUAAUAUAGCAUGAGAAAGACUAUGUAAGGUGAUGGACAAAGGUGACACACCUUAACCUAGGUUAAUACGGGGUAAGGUAAUGGAGUAAGGUGACAUACCUUAACCUGUGUUAGUAUGAGGAAAGCUAGGUGGAAGGUAGUGGACAAAGGUGAUACAUCUCAACCUAGAGUAGCAUGGAGAGUUGGAAAAAAGGGUUCCUUCUCCCAGCUAAGCAGUUAAGUAAGGUAGAGAGUUGGACAAGAGGGUUCACUCUUAGGAAAGAGGCCAAAUAUUGAGAGUUGAGUAAGAGGACCACUCUCAAAGUAAGGAAUAGUCCAGCUAUGUACAGAUGUGAUGUGUUACGUUAAUGUUUAUGUGAAUGUUGUUUAUGUUUUUAGCUAAAGCUUUCAGUUUUACUAUCAGUUUUAUGUAUAAUGCUUAUGUUUUAUAUGUUAGACACUCACUGGGUUUCUAGCUCAUGUUUUCAAAUGUUUUUCCCUCCCAGGUAGAGGUCACUUCCUAGAGGACGUUUGUGUUGCUGCUCUGCCACUCAAAGACACAGGUUGAAGAAAUUGAUGACUCUAUAAUUGUUAGUACACAUGUGUCUAUCAUAUAGGGACUAGUGUUGUAUGUUGGGCUUACUAAGUUGUAAUGUAUAUAAGUGUAUGUAUGAACAAUGUUAUGAAACCCUAUAAUGUAAAUGUGUUAAGUUUCGAGUAAUUUGUUCAGUA